rfam:Medicago truncatula strain A17 chromosome 4, whole genome shotgun sequence.
AGGUGCGAUCAUACCAGCACUAAUGCACCGGAUCCCAUCAGAACUCAGCAAUUAAGCGUGCUUGGGCGAGAGUAGUACUAGGAUGGGUGGCCUCCUGGGAGGUCCUUUUGUUGCACCUC